rnacentral:rRNA from 1 species
UGGGGAAUAUUGGACAAUGGGGGCAACCCUGAUCCAGCCAUGCCGCGUGCGUGAAGAAGGCCUUAGGGUUGUAAAGCGCUUUCACUGGUGAAGAUGAUGACGGUAGCCAGAGAAGAAGCCCCGGCUAACUCCGUGCCAGCAGCCGCGGUAAUACGGAGGGGGCAAGCGUUGUUCGGAAUUACUGGGCGUAAAGGGCGCGUAGGCGGAAUGUCAAGUUAGGGGUGAAAGGCCUGGGCUCAACCUAGGAACGGCCUCUAAAACUGACAAUCUAGAGUCCGGAAGAGGAUGGCGGAAUUCCCAGUGUAGAGGUGAAAUUCGUAGAUAUUGGGAAGAACACCGGUGGCGAAGGCGGCCAUCUGGUCCGGCACUGACGCUGAGGCGCGAAAGCGUGGGGAGCAAACAGG